rnacentral:misc_RNA from 1 species
GAUGAAGAACGUAGCGAAAUGCGAUACGUAAUGUGAAUUGCAGAAUUCAGUGAAUCAUCGAAUCUUUGAACGCAUAUUGCGCUCUCUGGUAUUCCGGAGAGCAUGCUUGUUUGAGUAUCAGUAAACACCUCAACUUCCAUAUCUUUUUUGAAAUGGGAGUUGGACUUGAGUGAUCCCAACGCUUUUCCUCACCGAAAAGUGGCGGGUUACUUGAAAUGCAGGUGCAGCUGGACUUUUCUCUGAGCUAUAAGCAUAUCUAUUUAGUCUGCCUAAAAAACAGAUUAUUACCUUUGCUGCAGCUAACAUAAAGGAGAUUAGUUCUUGUGCUGACUGAUGCAGGAUUCACAAAGACGGCUUCGGCCGACUUUGUAAACUCGAUCUCAAGUCAAGUAAGACUACCCGCUGAACUUAAGCAUAUCAAUAAGCGGAGGA